rnacentral:lncRNA from 1 species
GGCUUGACGAUAACAAUUAAGAAACUUCAAACCAGGAAAAUCAAAAUCUACACCAGGUCAGUCUUAGAAUGGUUGACCAUCUCGUGGUGCUUUGGUAUAUUUAUUCUACAAGUUAUACAUUUUCAUUUAUUUUCACAAACUGGUUUAUUACAUAGCACAAGUGCACAAAGGAAGCCUGAAAAAUGCUAAUACAUUCCACAAAAUAUGACUCCAUG